GCUGGUCUUGAAUGUCAAGAUCCAAACUGAUAGCAUCCAUCACUCUCUCCAGCAUUUCGGGGAUGCAUCUUCUCUGUAUCACCCACCUCGAACCUGCUCCCUUAGCAGCUCCUUUUUUUCAUGUUAUCCAGCCCUGUCAUAGUAGCUAUUGUGAGAUAGUCAGCUCUUACUGCAUGAAAACUGAAAGCAAUGAUCCUAGCUCAAGAGAGAGAAGGCUUGUUUAUUCUCAUUUAUGCCAAGAGUAUGAGUGAGAGUCCAAGGCAGAGUCCCAGAGUAGUCACACCCCAAGGUAGUUUUGAAUUUCCACUUGAGACUGAAGACCUCAGAAGGGCAUAUUUCUUGUUUAUCUGGCAAGUUAUACUACCCUGAGAGGAAGAGUUAGAAGCACAGAAAGAUAAAAAUUUGAAUGCUGGCCAUACUUUGGAGAAGAGAGAGGUAAACAACCACCACAGGAUGUUCCCAUGCACAACUCACGUACAGGGGCUUUGGUAUCACCACUAGCAAGGCGACUGCAUUGCCAGAUACACACAACCUGUUGUGACCUGACCUAGGGGCUUAAAGAGACCAUGGUUGAUUUAACCGGUGUCACAGCUAGAGUUCCCUGUUCACAGCUCAGGAGGUAAAUGACUGUUACUUGUUUUAAUAGCUCUACACUGUGCUCCACGCACCUGUACACCCUCAGCUGGGGACUGUACAGACCGGACAAAAGACAACCCUUUUCUCCAGCAUAUAUUCAUGAUUUUAUUUACUAAAUACACUAUUAGAGACAUAGGUGUGUGGUCAUUUCUAGAAGACACUUUAAAAAACUCAUUACAGGAAACAUUAAUAAAAUAAACCUUUACUGGCUAAUGGUUUUGCACAAGCAUAUUGUAACAGAGUAAUUCUGGGUUGUUACUUCUCUUUGUUUAUCCUCCUGCUUAGGACUAGCUUCUGAAGAGUAAAGGUGAAGUUGGUAAGAGCUAGACCAUAAAAUUCCUGAUUUUAUUUUCUAGGCAAUACGGAUCUCUGUCUGUCCAUCAUACCAGCCUGGGGGAGAGCUCACACAUCCAAGGUAUAAUUGAAAAUUGAUGAGAAGAGGGGAGGAGGGAAUCUGAAGUUUACCUUAGGCAUGUCCUCCCUGGGUGGCAGAAUGGAAGUACUACAAGAAUAAUGAAGUCUGAAGAAGAGGCCCAGAAAGCUAUCACAAUAAGCCUAGAGCUGUGCCUGAAGACAGAAAGGUGCUGUGAACCUUGCCCUAAGCACCAAACUGAAGCUGAGUAAGACUAAGCUUGAACCCUCCCGCCACAUGAGUUGUUGGUGAGAACAGGUUUCCUCUUGCGAGUAGAAGAGUAUAAUUCUAUUAUUUAAUUUUUGUAAAGGUACUAUAUGAAGUUAUGAUUAUUUUGUUUUGUUUUACAUCUUGAGUGGGAGCAAGUAAAUCUCAGAGAAGCCCAAGGGAAUUAAACACUUGGCCCCCAUCAGACUGAAAAGGAAGUCAUGUGCCUAAUCCUAUUAGUGCCUGUGAAAUUCCCAGACCUAAUAUUAGCUCCAGACAUUGCUCCACUGAGAUCCCUUUGAGAGUAAGAAAAAAAAACAUAUUGCUUUAGUGCAAUUUGUUCUCCCUAACCAUGUUAUCGCAUUGGAGUUAACAGCAAUAAUUUAUGUUCCAUUAUGUGCAGUACUUAAUUUAGAUAGGCCAACUGCCUUCUUGUACAGUUGCCAGCAAAAGAGUGCAUAGUCUCAGGAAACAGCAAGUGUGCAGGUUUCCCAUCUUGCUGCUGUUCUGGGCCAGGGGUGGGAGAGAGAUGGGGUUUUGUUCCCAUCCCACAGGGAACUAACCCUGGUCUGAGCAAAUGCCCUUCCCCAAAAAUACAAGGUUCCUCUCACAGCCAUGGUUGUGUCUUGUCCACACCUCACAGGUGCAGAAUAUUCAAGUGCUUAUUCAUGGAAGCAUUUCUUAGCAGUCUGAGAAGGUCUUCUCCAUCCUUUAGAGAGCCAUUAACAUUAAUCAGGUAAGAAAUAUGGGAUUUGUCGGGCAAACUUUUUUAUCAUGUUCUGAUAGUGAGACUCUCUCUGACCUUACCUGCUGUCAGGGAGAGCAAGCGAUGCUUCCCCAUCUCUGUGACAGAUUACACCAUUAUAACCCCAAUAAAUGGUCUGUACCGAAAACCUUCAACUUCUUAAAAAAAGGAAAAAGUGAAUAUAGACCUUUAAAAUACUGGAGAUUAGGAAUAAAGCUUUGUAAAUUAUGGGAAUUACAUGAUUAUGUGCUGGGUUUAACAUGGGAGGAACAAAGCAGCAAAACGAGGAAAUAGACUGAACAAAGGUUAGAGAUAUAUUUUUGUGCAGUUGCUUAAAGUAAUGCCUUACAGCUGGAAGAAAGCCCAGUUGUGCGUAAAACAAGUUGGCCUCGUUUACUCAAACAUGAUACUUGCAGAGGUUGUGUGAAGAGAGGAGUAACCGAAGGUUUUCCCCCCAGGAAGCCUCAGGCUCAGCUCUGUGGCACAAUGGGCCCCACUUCUGCAACCUGCAAGACAGCUUUGCUGUACAGAGGCAAAGUGCAAAGACAGUGGUUGUUAGGUUUGCAGUCCUCCGUCUACUGUCCUCUCUUGCCUGCAAAGAGGUAAGAGUAACUGUAUCAGCUGUACGGGGCUAUUUUCUGGCUGCUAAACUCUUAAGGAGACAAUUAUGCACACCCCAGUCAUCACAAUGAUCUGAACAGGAUUUAGCUCAAAUAAACCCACCUUCUUAAAUAUCCCCACAUAAAUGGAAAUGUUUGAUGGCCAAAGAAGCUGCAGGCCCCAUACUCUGCUCCGUAAGUCCUGCCUGGCUGGAGAGCUUUGACCAGAUGGAAUAAGGCACAGCAUUGACCUCCUUUUUGGAAACCACCAUGAAAGGGCUCAGACUUCCCCAGGCUGAUGGGGGAAACAGGAAUGCCAGGGGAGAGCCCAAACCACUGCCACGAGAGCCUUUUCUCCACGGACUGGAGAAGCAGCCUGUAACAGCAUACUUAGGUGUAUCUGCAUGGUAAAGAUCUACAGUUAAAAGAUGCAGCAGCUUCCAGCCUUAGUCUAGACUAUAUAACUUUGCUACAGCAGAAUUAAAAUAUGGGAAAAAAGGAGUGUAGCCAUUUCCUACUUUUAACAAGGAGCUUUGAUCUGAUGGGAAACAUACAAGAAAUAGCGUUUUCCUGAAAAUACUUGCAGUGUUUGUACUUAACUGCAGCCAAGGUGGGAGGAGAUUUAUAUGUAUUCUUAAAUCCUGCCUCGUUUCUUUCUUCUACCGAUUUUCCUUGUAAGUGGAGCAACUACUAGCAUGUAGCCACUUGUAACUUUAUGGGACAAAUAAAUAAAGGAGAUGUCACAAGACAACUAGGCCACUGCUGAAUCUGGCUUUUGCAAACCUUGCCCUACAUCAGCAAGAUGAAAACCAAAGGCAGUUCACAUCACAAGUCACAGCAAAGAAAAGAAAAACCACCUGUCGUCAGAAUCAACUGUGCUCUGCUCUAUUCUUUGCAAUCAGUCCCCUGGAAGCCUGCUUGUUGUAUCACAUCAGUUCUGUGCUGGUGUCUGUGCACUGGCAUUCACCACAGAUGGCAAGGUGGCAUCUGCUUUUGGUAGUCUGCCUUCUAGCAAAUGCCUUGGGGAGCAAUGUGCUUUGUCUUUCCAUCAGUGAGCAGGAAUGCCUGAGGUGGUGUGGCUGGCCUCAGGUGGCACAGCUCCAGCCCCAGCAAACUCACCAUAUAGCCCACUGCAAUCCUGU